rnacentral:rRNA from 1 species
GAUGAACGCUGGCGGCGUGCCUAAUACAUGCAAGUCGAGCGAACGGACGAGAAGCUUGCUUCUCUGAUGUUAGCGGCGGACGGGUGAGUAACACGUGGAUAACCUACCUAUAAGACUGGGAUAACUUCGGGAAACCGGAGCUAAUACCGGAUGAUAUUUUGAACCGCAUGGUUCAAAGGUGAAAGACGGUCUUGCUGUCACUUAUAGAUGGAUCCGCGCUGCAUUAGCUAGUUGGUAAGGUAACGGCUUACCAAGGCAACGAUGCAUAGCCGACCUGAGAGGGUGAUCGGCCACACUGGAACUGAGACACGGUCCAGACUCCUACGGGAGGCAGCAGUAGGGAAUCUUCCGCAAUGGGCGAAAGCCUGACGGAGCAACGCCGCGUGAGUGAUGAAGGUCUUCGGAUCGUAAAACUCUGUUAUUAGGGAAGAACAUAUGUGUAAGUAACUGCGCACAUCUUGACGGUACCUAAUCAGAAAGCCACGGCUAACUACGUG